rnacentral:sRNA from 1 species
GCCAGGCGUUGUGGCGGGCGCCUGUGGUCCCAGCUACUUGGGAGGCUGAGGCAGGAGACUCGCUUGAGCCCAGGAGUUGGAGGUUGCUGUGAGCUGUAAUGCCAUGGCACUCUACCCAGGGGGACAGCUUGAGGCUCUGUCUCAAAAAAAAAAAAAAAAAAAGAGUAAGAAUCGGCUCAGCGCCUGUGGCUCAAGUGGCUAGGACUCAAGCUGUUACUCUGGGUGGAGUGCGGUGACAUCACAGCUCACAGCAACCUCAAACUCUUAGGCUUAAACGAUUCUCUUGCCU